UACGUAGGGUGUGAGCGUUAAUCGGAAUUACUGGGCGUAAAGCGUGCGCAGGCGGUUCGCUAAGACCGAUGUGAAAUCCCCGGGCUUAACCUGGGAACUGCAUUGGUGACUGGCGGGCUAGAGUGUGGCAGAGGGGGGUAGAAUUCCACGUGUAGCAGUGAAAUGCGUAGAGAUGUGGAGGAAUACCGAUGGCGAAGGCAGCCCCCUGGGCUAACACUGACGCUCAUGCACGAAAGCGUGGGGAGCAAACAGG
rnacentral:rRNA from 1 species